rnacentral:rRNA from 1 species
GGGGUAAAAUUAAUAAAAUUUAAAUAAUAAAAUAAAUUUUAAUAAAAAUAUUUUGGGGGUUAAAGUAUUUUUUAAAGAAAAAAUUUAUAAAUUUAUAGUUAAUUAGUAUUGUAAGAUAAAUUUGAAAUAAUUGAAAAUAAAUUAAAGAAAAAGUAAUUUUAAUUUAAUGUAUCUUGUGUAUCAGAGUUUAUUAAAAAAAUUUUCUGGGGGGAAAAUUCUCGAAUUAAAAAGAGUUAAAUAAUUAAUAAAUUUAUUGUAGCAAAAAUAUUUUAAAUAAUUAUUUUGAAAUUAAAAGUUAUUCGUUUUUUAAGAUAUCUAGUUUUUUUAUAAAAAAAUUUAAUUUUGAAAUAAUUUAAUAAAAAAAUUAAUUAAAUAAUUUUUUUAAUAUUUAUUUUAAUAUUUUAAGGGAUAAGCUUUAAAAUAAAAUUUUAUAAUAAUAUUUUUUUAUAUUAAAAAUUUUAUAAUUUAUAUUGUUAAUAAAAUUUAAUUUAUUAUAAAUAAUUUUAAUUAAAGAAAAAUUUAUUUAUUGUUUAAUUUUUUAUAAAAUAAUAAUUUUUAAUAAAAUAAAAUUAGAUAUAAUGAUAAAAUUAGUAUAUUUAUGGGAUUAAAAAAAUAAUUAAUUUAUUGAAAAUUAAUUUUAAAGAAUUCGGCAAAAAUUUAUAUUCGCCUGUUUAUCAAAAACAUGUCUUUUUGAAAAUAAUUUAAAGUCUAAUCUGCCCACUGAUUUUAUUAAAGGGCUGCAGUAUUUUGACUGUACAAAGGUAGCAUAAUAAAUAGUCUUUUAAAUGGAGACUAGAAUGAAUGAUUGGACGAGAUAUAAACUGUUUCAAAAUUAUAAAUUGAAUUUAAUUUUUUUAUUAAAAAGUUAAAAUAAUUUUAAAAGACGAGAAGACCCUAUAGAGUUUAAUAUAAAAUUAUAAUUUUAGUUAUUUAUAAAAAUAAAAUUGAAAUUUAAAUUUAUAUUUUGUUGGGGUGAUAAAAAAAUUAAAAUAACUUUUUUUUAAAAAUCCAUAUAUAAGUGAAUUAAUUGAUCCAGAAUUUUUGAUUAAAAGAAAAAAUUACCUUAGGGAUAACAGCGUAAUUUUUUUUUUUAGUCCAAAUAAGAAAAAAAGUUUGCGACCUCGAUGUUGGAUUAAGAUAAAAUUUAAAUGCAAAAGUUUAAAAUUUUGAUCUGUUCGAUCAUUAAAAUCUUACAUGAUCUGAGUUCAAACCGGUGUGAGCCAGGUUGGUUUCUAUCUUUAAAUAAAUAAAAUAUUUUAGUACGAAAGGAUCAAAUAUUUGAAAUAAUUUUAUUAUUCUGAAUAUUAUUAAAAAAUUUUUGU